UUUCUCUCACUCCGGCAGUACAUAUACUAAAAUUUGAACGAUACAGAGAAGAUUAGCAUGGCCCCUGUGCAAGGAUGACACGCAAAAUUCUCUCGCUCACUCUCUCGCU